rnacentral:rRNA from 1 species
CCUACGGGAGGCAGCAGUGGGGAAUAUUGGGCAAUGGGCGCAAGCCUGACCCAGCAACGCCGCGUGAAGGAAGAAGGCCCUCGGGUUGUAAACUUCUUUUAUCAGGGACGAAAAAAAUGACGGUACCUGAUGAAUAAGCCACGGCUAACUACGUGCCAGCAGCCGCGGUAAUCCGUAGGUGGCAAGCGUUAUCCGGAUUUACUGGGUUUAAAGGGAGUGUAGGCGGGUGAGCAAGUCAGACGUGAAAUUCCAGGGCUCAACCCUGGUAGUGCGUUGCAAACUGUUCUCCUUGAGUGAUGGGAAGGCAGGCGGAAUGCGGGGUGUAGCGGUGAAAUGCGUAGAUAUAACGAGGAACACCAGUGGCGAAGGCGGCCUGCUGCACAUUAACUGACGCUGAGGCGCGAAAGCGUGGGGAGCAAACAGGAUUAGAUACCCUAGUAGUC